UGUACUUACUAUUGUAAGUCGCUUUGGACAAAAGUGUCUGCCAAAUGUAAUUUU
rfam:Astyanax mexicanus Tnplaced_Scaffold_5067, whole genome shotgun sequence.